UUAAGCGUGCUUGGGAGCGGUAAUGCAUCGGAUCCCAUCAGAACUCCGCAGUGAAGCGUGCUUGGGCGAGAGGAGUACUAGGAUGGGUGACCUCUUGGGAAGUCCUCGUGUUGCACCCC
rfam:Vigna angularis cultivar Jingnong 6 scaffold866_5, whole genome shotgun sequence.